rnacentral:rRNA from 2 species
GGGUUGUGAGGUUAAGCGACUAAGCGUACACGGUGGAUGCCCUGGCAGUCAGAGGCGAUGAAGGACGUGCUAAUCUGCGAAAAGCGUCGGUAAGGUGAUAUGAACCGUUAUAGCCGGCGAUGUCCGAAUGGGGAAACCCAGUGCAAUUCGUUGCACUAUCGUUAACUGAAUACAUAGGUUAACGAGGCGAACCGGGGGAACUGAAACAUCUAAGUACCCCGAGGAAAAGAAAUCAACCGAGAUUCCCCCAGUAGCGGCGAGCGAACGGGGAGCAGCCCAGAGUCUGAAUCAGCUUGUGUGUUAGUGGAACGGUCUGGAAAGUCCGACGGUACAGGGUGAUAGUCCCGUACACCAAAAUGCACAGGUUGUGAACUCGAAGAGUAGGGCGGGACACGUGGUAUCCUGUCUGAAUAUGGGGGGACCAUCCUCCAAGGCUAAAUACUCCUGACUGACCGAUAGUGAACCAGUACCGUGAGGGAAAGGCGAAAAGAACCCCGGCGAGGGGAGUGAAAAAGAACCUGAAACCGUGUACGUACAAGCAGUGGGAGCACCUUCGGGUGUGACUGCGUACCUUUUGUAUAAUGGGUCAGCGACUUAUAUUCUGUAGCAAGGUUAACCGUAUAGGGGAGCCGCAGGGAAACCGAGUCUUAACUGGGCGUUAAGUUGCAGGGUAUAGACCCGAAACCCGGUGAUCUAGCCAUGGGCAGGUUGAAGGUUGGGUAACACUAACUGGAGGACCGAACCGACUAAUGUUGAAAAAUUAGCGGAUGACUUGUGGCUGGGGGUGAAAGGCCAAUCAAACCGGGAGAUAGCUGGUUCUCCCCGAAAGCUAUUUAGGUAGCGCCUCGUGAACUCAUCUUCGGGGGUAGAGCACUGUUUCGGCUAGGGGGUCAUCCCGACUUACCAACCCGAUGCAAACUACGAAUACCGAAGAAUGUUAUCACGGGAGACACACGGCGGGUGCUAACGUCCGUCGUGAAGAGGGAAACAACCCAGACCGCCAGCUAAGGUCCCAAAGUCAUGGUUAAGUGGGAAACGAUGUGGGAAGGCACAGACAGCCAGGAUGUUGGCUUAGAAGCAGCCAUCAUUUAAAGAAAGCGUAAUAGCUCACUGGUCGAGUCGGCCUGCGCGGAAGAUGUAACGGGGCUAAACCAUGCACCGAAGCUGCGGCAGCGACACUAUGUGUUGUUGGGUAGGGGAGCGUUCUGUAAGCCUGCGAAGGUGUGCUGUGAGGCAUGCUGGAGGUAUCAGAAGUGCGAAUGCUGACAUAAGUAACGAUAAAGCGGGUGAAAAGCCCGCUCGCCGGAAGACCAAGGGUUCCUGUCCAACGUUAAUCGGGGCAGGGUGAGUCGACCCCUAAGGCGAGGCCGAAAGGCGUAGUCGAUGGGAAACAGGUUAAUAUUCCUGUACUUGGUGUUACUGCGAAGGGGGGACGGAGAAGGCUAUGUUAGCCGGGCGACGGUUGUCCCGGUUUAAGCAUGUAGGCUGGUUAUCCAGGCAAAUCCGGAUAAUCAAGGCUGAGGUGUGAUGACGAGGCACUACGGUGCUGAAGUAACAAAUGCCCUGCUUCCAGGAAAAGCCUCUAAGCAUCAGGUAACAUCAAAUCGUACCCCAAACCGACACAGGUGGUCAGGUAGAGAAUACCAAGGCGCUUGAGAGAACUCGGGUGAAGGAACUAGGCAAAAUGGUGCCGUAACUUCGGGAGAAGGCACGCUGGUGUGUAGGUGAAGUCCCUGCGGAUGGAGCUGAGACCAGUCGAAGAUACCAGCUGGCUGCAACUGUUUAUUAAAAACACAGCACUGUGCAAACACGAAAGUGGACGUAUACGGUGUGACGCCUGCCCGGUGCCGGAAGGUUAAUUGAUGGGGUUAUCCGUAAGGAGAAGCUCUUGAUCGAAGCCCCGGUAAACGGCGGCCGUAACUAUAACGGUCCUAAGGUAGCGAAAUUCCUUGUCGGGUAAGUUCCGACCUGCACGAAUGGCGUAAUGAUGGCCAGGCUGUCUCCACCCGAGACUCAGUGAAAUUGAACUCGCUGUGAAGAUGCAGUGUACCCGCGGCAAGACGGAAAGACCCCGUGAACCUUUACUAUAGCUUGACACUGAACAUUGAGCCUUGAUGUGUAGGAUAGGUGGGAGGCUUUGAAGCGUGGACGCCAGUCUGCGUGGAGCCAACCUUGAAAUACCACCCUUUAAUGUUUGAUGUUCUAACGUUGGCCCCUGACCGGGGUUGCGGACAGUGUCUGGUGGGUAGUUUGACUGGGGCGGUCUCCUCCCAAAGCGUAACGGAGGAGCACGAAGGUUAGCUAAUCCUGGUCGGACAUCAGGAGGUUAGUGCAAUGGCAUAAGCUAGCUUGACUGCGAGCGUGACGGCGCGAGCAGGUGCGAAAGCAGGUCAUAGUGAUCCGGUGGUUCUGAAUGGAAGGGCCAUCGCUCAACGGAUAAAAGGUACUCCGGGGAUAACAGGCUGAUACCGCCCAAGAGUUCAUAUCGACGGCGGUGUUUGGCACCUCGAUGUCGGCUCAUCACAUCCUGGGGCUGAAGUAGGUCCCAAGGGUAUGGCUGUUCGCCAUUUAAAGUGGUACGCGAGCUGGGUUUAGAACGUCGUGAGACAGUUCGGUCCCUAUCUGCCGUGGGCGCUGGAGAAUUGAGGGGGGCUGCUCCUAGUACGAGAGGACCGGAGUGGACGCAUCACUGGUGUUCGGGUUGUCAUGCCAAUGGCACUGCCCGGUAGCUAAAUGCGGAAGAGAUAAGUGCUGAAAGCAUCUAAGCACGAAACUUGCCCCGAGAUGAGUUCUCCCUGAGACUUUAAGUCUCCUGAAGGAACGUUAAAGACGAUGACGUUGAUAGGCCGGGUGUGUAAGCGCAGCGAUGCGUUGAGCUAACCGGUACUAAUGAACCGUGAGGCUUAACCUUACAACGCCGAAG